ACAGCCCGCGACGCGGUCACGGAAAAUAAUAGCUGACAGGAUGUCGUCAUCUCUAACUGUCACUCGCGCCACAGUUCUCAAGCAAGGGACAAUAAUGGCAUCAGCCAUUCAAGUUAUGAUCCUGGCAGCUCUACUACUAUCUGAAAAGUAGUCUCUGCAGAUAUUGUCAAAAUGCACAAGAUGGAGCGUGGAGAGACAGGACAUGGACCACAGUUUUUCAGCACCCACACCCCACACUCAAAUUCAUAUAGAAGUCCUCAAUUAUUAAAUGUUAAUAUGAUAGUUUAUAUUUAGCUGUGAAGUUAUAGUUCAUUGUCAUAAAUAUUAAACUACAUAUUAUUAUUAUUAUUAUUUUACAUGAUAUGCAAAUUUCACCAAUUUGUUCAAUGUGUUAAUGAACUUUUUGAAAGUGAUUAUCUUUAAUAAUUCAGAUACCUGUUGAAAUGCACAUGUAAUUAUAUACUUGCUUGUAUC